rnacentral:rRNA from 1 species
UUAAGCGACUAAGCGUACACGGUGGAUGCCCUGGCAGUCAGAGGCGAUGAAGGACGUGCUAAUCUGCGAUAAGCGUCGGUAAGGUGAUAUGAACCGUUAUAACCGGCGAUUUCCGAAUGGGGAAACCCAGUGUGUUUCGACACACUAUCAUUAACUGAAUCCAUAGGUUAAUGAGGCGAACCGGGGGAACUGAAACAUCUAAGUACCCCGAGGAAAAGAAAUCAACCGAGAUUCCCCCAGUAGCGGCGAGCGAACGGGGAGGAGCCCAGAGCCUGAAUCAGUGUGUGUGUUAGUGGAAGCGUCUGGAAAGGCGCGCGAUACAGGGUGACAGCCCCGUACACAAAAAUGCACAUGCUGUGAGCUCGAUGAGUAGGGCGGGACACGUGGUAUCCUGUCUGAAUAUGGGGGGACCAUCCUCCAAGGCUAAAUACUCCUGACUGACCGAUAGUGAACCAGUACCGUGAGGGAAAGGCGAAAAGAACCCCGGCGAGGGGAGUGAAAAAGAACCUGAAACCGUGUACGUACAAGCAGUGGGAGCACGCUUAGGCGUGUGACUGCGUACCUUUUGUAUAAUGGGUCAGCGACUUAUAUUCUGUAGCAAGGUUAACCGAAUAGGGGAGCCGAAGGGAAACCGAGUCUUAACUGGGCGUUAAGUUGCAGGGUAUAGACCCGAAACCCGGUGAUCUAGCCAUGGGCAGGUUGAAGGUUGGGUAACACUAACUGGAGGACCGAACCGACUAAUGUUGAAAAAUUAGCGGAUGACUUGUGGCUGGGGGUGAAAGGCCAAUCAAACCGGGAGAUAGCUGGUUCUCCCCGAAAGCUAUUUAGGUAGCGCCUCGUGAAUUCAUCUCCGGGGGUAGAGCACUGUUUCGGCAAGGGGGUCAUCCCGACUUACCAACCCGAUGCAAACUGCGAAUACCGGAGAAUGUUAUCACGGGAGACACACGGCGGGUGCUAACGUCCGUCGUGAAGAGGGAAACAACCCAGACCGCCAGCUAAGGUCCCAAAGUCAUGGUUAAGUGGGAAACGAUGUGGGAAGGCCCAGACAGCCAGGAUGUUGGCUUAGAAGCAGCCAUCAUUUAAAGAAAGCGUAAUAGCUCACUGGUCGAGUCGGCCUGCGCGGAAGAUGUAACGGGGCUAAACCAUGCACCGAAGCUGCGGCAGCGACGCUUAUGCGUUGUUGGGUAGGGGAGCGUUCUGUAAGCCUGUGAAGGUGUGCUGUGAGGCAUGCUGGAGGUAUCAGAAGUGCGAAUGCUGACAUAAGUAACGAUAAAGCGGGUGAAAAGCCCGCUCGCCGGAAGACCAAGGGUUCCUGUCCAACGUUAAUCGGGGCAGGGUGAGUCGACCCCUAAGGCGAGGCCGAAAGGCGUAGUCGAUGGGAAACAGGUUAAUAUUCCUGUACUUGGUGUUACUGCGAAGGGGGGACGGAGAAGGCUAUGUUGGCCGGGCGACGGUUGUCCCGGUUUAAGCGUGUAGGCUGGUUUUCCAGGCAAAUCCGGAAAAUCAAGGCUGAGGCGUGAUGACGAGGCACUACGGUGCUGAAGCAACAAAUGCCCUGCUUCCAGGAAAAGCCUCUAAGCAUCAGGUAACAUCAAAUCGUACCCCAAACCGACACAGGUGGUCAGGUAGAGAAUACCAAGGCGCUUGAGAGAACUCGGGUGAAGGAACUAGGCAAAAUGGUGCCGUAACUUCGGGAGAAGGCACGCUGAUAUGUAGGUGAAGUCCCUCGCGGAUGGAGCUGAAAUCAGUCGAAGAUACCAGCUGGCUGCAACUGUUUAUUAAAAACACAGCACUGUGCAAACACGAAAGUGGACGUAUACGGUGUGACGCCUGCCCGGUGCCGGAAGGUUAAUUGAUGGGGUCAGCGCAAGCGAAGCUCUUGAUCGAAGCCCCGGUAAACGGCGGCCGUAACUAUAACGGUCCUAAGGUAGCGAAAUUCCUUGUCGGGUAAGUUCCGACCUGCACGAAUGGCGUAAUGAUGGCCAGGCUGUCUCCACCCGAGACUCAGUGAAAUUGAACUCGCUGUGAAGAUGCAGUGUACCCGCGGCAAGACGGAAAGACCCCGUGAACCUUUACUAUAGCUUGACACUGAACAUUGAGCCUUGAUGUGUAGGAUAGGUGGGAGGCUU